UAUAUCAACUUAUACAAGCGUUCUGUACACAAACGCAAACUACCAUUGGAAUAAAAUUUAUAUUAUGGACUCUAAGCCAUUUACUCAAUAAACUUUACUUGAACUGUAUAUAGUAGUAGUGUAGUGUGUAUGUGUGAGAGUAUGUGUGUGUGUUCAAGACGGGAUUGUAAUAGACACAUCAGUUACACUUAUCAGCUACUGAGCCCGCACGCAGCUAGCACAAUCACGUAAAGAAGAAACAAAAGAAAUGCUAGUUUACUUUCGCUAUGUAUCGCAAGUCGAAUGCAAGCAAUACAAACUACGAAGAACUUUGGCCGCCAGUAUAGUGCGCAAUAGGCAUGAGACAACUAACGUAUAGAAGGCAGACCAGCCGCCGUAUUUCGUUGUGGCUGCGUCCACAAUUGAGCGUAUACGUUAGGGUUUACGUAGAACAUAACGCUUUGGGCAGUACUGUCAAUCCACUGUAACAGACUGCAGUUGAAACGAAGGAACACACCUGCUCAAAAUUUAACCUAUAAAAAUGUUUAAAUUUGAAUUGUAUGGUAAUAAAUUGUAAAAUUCUUUUUUCAAAUAAAAUUAUAAAAUUUUGUAAGAGAA